GGAAAGAGCAUGGGAGCUGGGAGGGAACAGGGGUGGAAGAGUGGAGGAAGCGGUUCCAGCAGAGAAGAAAGGAAGUGGGGGUGGAAAUGCCAGCUCAGAAAGCACCUGGGGGUUACUGGGAGUGCCUUCUCCCUGACUGCAGAACCUGUCUGGGUCUGUGUCUCACUGCUGGAGAUCCUGCACGGGGCUCUGUAACCCUGCUGUGCAACUGGGGCAUUGUCACCAUUGUCACCCCCUGCCUGCCCAGCAGGCUCCUGUGACACUCGUGGCUGUCAGAAAUCAGCAGUCACACGGGGCCAUCUGAAAAUUGCAGUCCCAGCCCCCUCUUUGUCUGAGGCUGGGCUAUGGCUGGACUGUUUCCACCAGAAAGUAUCCAAAAUUCAUGUGGAUCACCUGGGGCAUUGAGCAGUUUGCUUAGUCCAGGUCAAUUCAAAAUGAAAUACUAUCUUUUGAUCCUCUUUGCAAACAAACCUUUUCAAUUUUUUUUUUGGCAGAAACAACAUUUUUUUUUUCCCCUCAUGGAAAAUUCCUAUUAUCUCAGAAACAGAAAAUCUCCCCUAUGGAAAAUUUCCAGUGAGCUCCAAUUCUAAACCUUGAUGCCAGAAAACAUCUAGCAGGCAUUAGCAGAGGGUGACUCAGGGUGUAAUGUAUCAUUUAAUUCUGACUAGGGCAACAUAGCCACAGGAACUGGAGAACACAAGCAGGCUCUCAGCAUCCCUAACUCAAUAUUCAGUAGGCAAUCCACCAAAACCACAUAUGCAGAACAGGGAAAAAGUGUUACAAUAGCACUUCAGUAUUGAAAGCUCAGAUCUACCCUGAGAAAGAAACUGGGAAAAUGUCAUCAGAUGCACCAUCUCUGCUUCCUCUUGCUAACUUCCAAAUCCAACAUGUUUGUGUUACAAGAAGAUGCUUUUAUUUUUAUGUUUUUAGCAGAUAGUUUCACCACCCAAGGGUCUGAGAGGUUUCCUGCUCCUACAAGCAGUGGAGAAAAUCAUCUGGCAUUUUGUAGGUACAGCAGACUUGGAGUUUGAUCUGUUGUUGCACAAGAAAUAGUCUCCAGUCCUUGUCCAACAGCUCUGCUGCUGCUUUCCUACCCAGAAAAGAGACCAGCUGGCUCAGAAAGUGUUUUUCCCUUCAGCAGAAAAAGGGUGUGGGAUACAAGUCUGUUUCAGAAGACAAAAAACAUGGAGAGCUUCUUGAGCAGUUGACUGCAUCCAUGUGUUCUGUUCACCUUGCCAGUCCCUCUGCAAGUUUCCAGGUCACACUGUUCCCUAUCUGACAUCAGCAAAUCAAGGCAGGUAUGUCCUCCCCUCACAGAGCCUGGACUUUGGCUCGUGUACUGAGGCUGAGCCUCAGCCCCCCUGCAGCUCCAGCCUCUGCAGGGACAGGGUGGGAGCCCUUGGGCACUCCUGGAUCACCUCUGAAGGGUGUUUUCAUCAGGGAAGCAAGCAGAUACAAAAGCUCUGCAAAAUUCAAGCUGCAUCUGUCAACAACAAAGAAUGUACAGUUCUCAGCUGACAAUAAAACAUUUAUUCGUUUCCAUUCUUCUAUUUUUUUGUUUUCCACUGCUCAAGUGUUCUCUGUGUUGAGGUUGAAUCUUUCAGGCCCCAGUAGAUGUCUUCCCUAGAACACAGAGGCCCUGUUUUUCCCUAGAAUCUUCUGCCCUUGUCUAGCCUCAGUGUAAAAUGUCCUUUGCUGCAGAAAUGCAUUUCUUAUUUCUCUCAUCUGCCCGACGUUCCUUUCUUUCUGAAUUUUUUUUCUUUUAUCUUCUCACACCCAGCACUAUGACUUUGAUCUUGUUUUCUUUUGCUGGUGUUAUCCCAUCAUCAGCCAGUGAAAGACAGAGAAGAAAACUGGCUUUAUCAAGAAGACAGUUAUUCUUUUGUUCUCCAAGAUGACAAAGGGCUUGGCUUCUAAUGGUCUUUGCUCAACCUGUGCAUGGAUAAGCAGGUAAAGGACACCACUGUCUUUGCUGAGCACAAGGAACAGGGGGCAGUGAAAGAUGGGCAAAAGACAAGGAAGCAAAUAAUUAGGUUUCAAACCAAAUUCGAUUGAAGACGUUUCCCCAUCUCCUGAAUUGUCAAUGAAGCUGUAACAGCUCAGUUUCCUUAGAAAAUUUAAACUGCAGCCCCAAGUCUGAGUGAGGGUAAAGGCUUGGAAAGGUAGGACAUGUUUUUUGGCUCUGCCAAGAUAAUGUAAUCUCCUGGUGCCUAGGAGGUGGUGAUCAAAGAAAGGCUGUCUUGGGGGUUUGCAAAUGUCUGCUGGGUGAGUAAAGUGAGGGAUGUGUAAAGGUCAGAGUGCUCUGUUGAUAAGGGGAUGCACUGAAAGGGCACAAGAACCACAGAGGACUUCCUGUGUCAUGACAGCAGGUGCUGUGUGAAGCUGAGAGAAUAGCUGAACAAAGCAAACCACAAGGAUGACAGGAUAUUUAAAGCAAAAGGGGGAAAUAAUGAGUCAUCCCUAUUUAUCAAAGUGCAGGAAAAGAGAUUUCUGUCUCGGGUAAUUUCUCGAUGAGAUAUAAAGGCAGCCUUUAACAAAAGGGGGGAAAAAAUCUUAAUUCCAUUUAAUUUCUUUUAGCCCAAGCAACCAGAAUCCAUUUAGACUACAGAAGCUACCAAUUAUUUAACAUUGUUAGGGAAAAAAAAGUCAGUAUUUUCCAGGAGUCUGGAGAUGAAUCUGUCCCUGUAAUCAGUGAUGUUUUGCUUGGUUGUAAACAAACACAUCUCUACUCAGGAGUGUUCCUGAGGUACCCAGAGUGAAACAGCAUCAGGGCAACAUUGAGAAACAUCUUAUUUGGAACAGAUCAUUCCCAUGGAAUAGGUAAGGUAUUGAUUUGGGAAUUUAUUGGGUUUGGUGUUCCUUGUUAAAAGUUUGGCUUCCCAAAAGUCAUGGUUCCUUGGGGGAAGACCUUGCCAAUGGCCCCAGACACUCCCUCUGUUUGGUGUGGAUUUAUGCCUCAGACCCUCUGCUAUGUUCAGUGGACUCUUUGGCCAUCAGAAGCUUUUCCCAAGAGCUUUCAGGCAAGUUGCUGCUUAUUAUUCUGGUCGUAAAUCAGGUUACACAUGUUGGUUGCCUCAGGUGCUCAGCACUUCCACAGGUGCUGCUGUCAGAAAUAAUCCUCCUUAGCAAGGCAGGCUGGUGCUGUGAGGAGAGUCACCCUCCUGCAGACUGUCCAUCUGCUCUGCUGCUGUCCAUCUGUUGGUAUGAAGAGAAACUUCCAGGGAAUGGGAGGCUGCUAACGUGCACAGUGUGAGGCUGUGUGUAGGGAUAGGUUAAUGCUGAUAUCACUGCUGCUUGGUCACCUAGGUGAUGGAUCUGGCUGCUAUAGUAACCUGCAGCCUGCAUUGCUCAUCAAAUACAAAUUUUUACAAAUGGGAUUGUUUUAAGGUGCUGUUGCCCUGUCUGUUGCCCUUUUAGAAUUGUUACGUGGGUUGUGAGAUGAGACUUUGGAGUACAGGUUUUAUUGUCUGUUUUUUCCUUGAAAUUGAGUCCUGGAAAACACAAGAUGUUUAUGCCCAAAGAUUGAGCUUAGGAUAGAGAUAUUUGAAAAAAUAAAGACAUGCUAUUGCUCUUCACCUUCUGAAGUCUUGCCUCUUAGGCCCAUCCUUCACUAUGGAAGAUGAUGUUUCAGAGGAGCUAGAGCCAAUUAAAAAAAAAAAAAAGAAAAAAAAGCUAGGUAUCCACAAGGACUUCUCACAUUCUUCUGCCAUCAUGCAAAGCUGCAGCCAUGUGCUGUGCCAGGGUCAUGUCUGGGA